rnacentral:rRNA from 1 species
GAUGAACGCUGGCGGCGUGCCUAAUACAUGCAAGUCGAGCGAACAGACGAGGAGCUUGCUCCUCUGACGUUAGCGGCGGACGGGGGAGUAACACGUGGAUAACCUACCUAUAAGACUGGGAUAACUUCGGGAAACCGGAGCUAAUACCGGAUAAUAUAUUGAACCGCAUGGUUCAAUAGUGAAAGACGGUUUUGCUGUCACUUAUAGAUGGAUCCGCGCCGCAUUAGCUAGUUGGUAAGGUAACGGCUUACCAAGGCAACGAUGCGUAGCCGACCUGAGAGGGUGAUCGCCCACACUGGAACUGAGACAGGGUCCAGACUCCUACGGGAGGCAGCAGUAGGGAAUCUUCCGCAAUGGGCGAAAGCCUGACGUAGCAACGCCGCGUGAGUGAUGAAGGUCUUCGGAUCGUAAAACUCUGUUAUUAGGGAAGAACAAAUGUGUAAGUAACUAUGCACGUCUUGACGGUACCUAAUCAGAAAGCCACGGCUAACUACGUG